rnacentral:rRNA from 1 species
GUAGCGGUGAAAUGCGUAGAGAUCGGGAAGAACAUCGGUGGCGAAAGCGCUCUACUGGACGGCAACUGACACUCAGGGACGAAAGCUAGGGGAGCGAAUGGGAUUAGAUACCCCAGUAGUCCUAGCUGUAAACGAUGGAUACUAGGUGUAGCUUGUAUCGACCCGAGCUGUGCCGAAGCUAACGCGUUAAGUAUCCCGCCUGGGGAGUACGGCCGCAAGGUUAAAACUCAAACGAAUUGACGGACCCCGCACAAGCAGCGGAGCGUGUGGUUUAAUUCGAUGCUACACGAAGAACCUUACCUGGGUUUGACAUCUAGGUGGUAGUGAAGCGAAAGCGGAGCGACCCUUCGGGGAGCCUAGACAGGUGCUGCAUGGCUGUCGUCAGCUCGUGCCGUGAGGUGUCGGGUUAAGUCCCGUAACGAGCGCAACCCUUGCCCUCCGUUAUACGUGUCAGAGGGGACUGCCGGCGGUAAGCCGGAGGAAGGUGGGGAUGACGUCAAGUCAGCAUGGCCUUUAUAUCCAGGGCUACACACACGCUACAAUGGCCAGUACAAAGGGCAGCGAAGCCGCGAGGUGGAGCGAAUCCCAGCAAAGCUGGUCGUAGUUCGGAUUGCAGGCUGCAACCCGCCUGCAUGAAGCUGGAGUUGCUAGUAACCGCGCGUCAGCCAUAGUGCGGUGAAUACGUUCCCGGGGUUUGUACACACCGCCCGUCACGUCAUGGGAGUCGAUAACGCCUGAAGCCGGUGGCCUAGCUCGGAAGAGAGGGCGCUGUCUAAGGCGGGGUCGGUGACUGGGACGAAGUCGUAACAAGGUAACCAAGGGCGAA